rnacentral:rRNA from 1 species
UAGGGAAUAUUGGUUAAUCUGCGAAAGCGGGAACCAGCAACGCCGCGUGAACGAUGAAGGCCUUCGGGUUGUAAAGUUCUUUUGGCAGGGAAGAGGAAGGACGGUACCUGUCGAAUAAGUCUCGGCUAACUACGUGCCAGCAGCCGCGGUAACACGUAGGAGACGAGCGUUAUCCGGAUUUACUGGGUGUAAAGCGCGUGCAGGCGGAACGGCAAGUUGGAUGUGAAAGCUCCUGGCUUAACUGGGAGAGGUCGUACAAGACUGCCGAUCUAGAGGACAGCAGAGGGGAGUGGAAUUCCGAGUGUAGCGGUAAAAUGCAUAGAUAUUCGGAAGAACACCAGUGGCGAAAGCGGCUCUCUGGGCUGUAACUGACGCUCAGACGCGAAAGCUAGGGUAGCAAACGGG